rnacentral:lncRNA from 1 species
AAGUCAAAGGCUCCCAGGAGGAUAGACCCUGCAGAAGAGUUUCUUAGGCGAUACGGUCAAUCACAGCCUUCUUCAGAUAAUCACAACAGUCCGACACAGACUAUGGUUGAAUUAAAGCAAGAGAUCAAGGACCUGAAAGAAGAGAACGUGAAGUUGAAGGAGAUUGUUCUUUAAGAUGUGCCAGGACUCCUACUGAGCUUGAGGAAUAUAAUAGAUUCGGCUACACCUCCUAAGAGAUCCAGGGUGGAGCCUACCAAAGCAUUACCGGCCCUUCCAGGGUCUCCGCAGUCCAGGUCCAGUUCUCCAUGUGCCACUUCACUGUCCCUCCCCAGAUCCAGUUCCACAUCUGUGUCUCCAUCCCUGACUGCCUCCCAGUCUUCUAAGAAGGAACAUUUGGAAAAAGGAUCACAGACAGUCACACAACGAGAAUCCAGUCAUCUGAACUCACAGGUACUGAGAUUAAUUAAGAAUAUUUCAUCACACAAACAUAGCACAAAUUUUAUAAAUCAUAAAAAUAAAAAAAAUACGUGCUCAGUUUUCAUUUUUUCAGUUGCUGUGUGUUGGGUUAAGUGAAUAAACAAGAUAAUAAAGUC